rnacentral:piRNA from 1 species
UGAGUCUCUGAAUCUCAAAGCCAUACUC